CAAGUGGAGUGGGGUGUGACAACGGAAGGGAGGAAGUAGACUGAGCAAUUCUUCAUCCGGCGAGAGCCACUUCCGGUCAGAACAUCAAUGACCGCCAUUUGAAUCAACAAAAGAAGAUGCCCUUCUUGCAUGGCCGUAUAUCUUGAGCUUAUGGAUGAUUUAUUGCAACUGGCUGUUAAUUCUCUCCCUUGAGCUCAUGGAGGGUGUCUUGGCCCUGAUUAUAUUUCAAGCUCUUCCCACUGUGAACUACUGGCAUCUUACUUUUUGACCCCUUGACAAGAAGAAUUGGAGUUACCAAAAUGCUGUCAUUUAAGGUGUUGGAGUGGAAACCAGAACAUUACCUAUUAUCAAGAAGGGGUUUCUUCUAAGGCAUUCAGGGCCUCUUCAGGGCCUCUUCAAGACUACCUUCUACUCUCAAACACCAACUCUUAAGGGCACUCAGAAACAUACAUCUAAGGAAAGAUUCACUUAAAAACCAGCCAAGACACGGUCAUAUAAUUGGGAUCUCCAGGGCCCUGAGUAAAGACAGUCACCUCUCACUUCAUUGUCAGUAAAUCAAACUCUCCACAGAUGGGCAUUUCCAGGUUUUCCUGUGAGUUUCUUGCACCUACAGAGCCCGGCCAAAUACUACAAUCCUGAAGGCCCAGAAACACUGGGAAUGCACAAGGGAGUUCGACUAGACAUGAGGCUCUGCGCCUUCUCACUCGUCUUCAGAAUAGUUUGUGGAAAGUCCCCUUGCCCUCUGCCCCAGCUCGGGUGUGCCACCUGCCCUCAGUCCAGCCUUGGUGGCCUCAACCAAAUUUAGAUGCGUAAUGCCACGUGCGGUUAAUGGAUGGUACCAAAAGGGCGCGCGGCUUCUAUCUCCGCCAGCCCCGCUUUGUUACCUCUGACAACCACUCGAGGCUGGGAAGAGACCUGUGUCGUUUCCACUCAGCUCCAGCCCAGCAACUAAGUACAUUCAUACUAGGGACAUCAAUCUCAGAUGCCAAAGCCUGGAGAUUUGCAUUGCAAAUAGGCGAACGUGGUGACAUUUCACCACUGGGAGCAGAACCUGAGGCAUCCUCC